UAUAUCACGUUAAAAUACCAGUGCCCGUAAGAUCACCGAAGUUAAACAACGUCGAGCCAGGUCAAUACGAAGAUGGGUGACCGCUUAGAAAUAUUAGGUGUUGUAA